ACAAUAGGCUUCCCUUGAACAAAACUAUUCUUCCUUUCAAUUGUAUUGAAGAAACAGAAUAAUAAUGUUUUUGGCCAAGUUUGGUCCCUUCAUCUGCAUUUGCACCUGCACCUUAUUCAACUUCUCUCUUCUCUCUCCACCAACGAUAUAGAAGAACAUGAAUAUGAAGAACAAAAGAUGUCGUUCCUUGUAUUUGGUCUCUUCGCAACAACAAUAAUCCUCUCUUCUCUGUAUUCCUCUUUUGGAGAUGACAACAACGACAGCGAGCAGAGGUGUGUAGUGUUAGAAGAUGCAUGCGAAAGUGAUCAAGAUCAACAAAAGGGCACAUCCAGUACAACCAACAUUUAUUAGUUCUACGAUGUAGUGGGGCCUAUCCAGCACUCUCAUCAUCUUUGUCGUAGUAGGGCUCGCCCAGCACUCACGACAGCAUCGUUGUCACGAAGUACACUCAACGUCAACAACGAAAUGUAACCUGUGUGCACACGGUAACCUCUAGCCUCAGGCUUAAGAUCUCAGUCAUGUAGUCAAUGAAAAUAUCAUAAAGCAUAUGAAAAUAUUAAAACAUGGUAUGCUUAUCUUAACCUUGCAUAAACUCAAACUUACUCAACUUGUUUGUGAAAAAACCGAAAAUCUUAAAAUAAUUCUUGCUUAAA